rnacentral:lncRNA from 1 species
GAGAGAAGAUACUGUGAGAACAGAGAAGCUAUCUGUGGGGUGUUUGGAGGGGUGCAGCUUGCAGCUCCAUCAUCCUCUUCUGUGGAGGAAAGACUGGAUUGUUCUUCUCAGAGAAAGGUGGUGUGGUGGGGAGGAAGACGUGAAAGGCAGCUGGGCUACAGAUUACCUGCAGCAGAGCUAGGGGCACUGGUUUCUAUGAUGUGUUACUGGCUUACUUGUUUAGUUUUCUAUUCUGUCCCACCCUCAACUAGUCUGAAACCUAGGGUCCAUGAGAGCAGAAUCUCAUUCUUGGUCACUGCUAUAUCACAGUGCCUAUAGCAAUGCUGUCACAUAGUAGGUGCUCAAUCAAGAACAGCGAAUAAAUAAAAAGCCCAGCCUAGUCCACUAUGUGCUAUGGUGCCUUUAGCCAGCCCUCCUCUCUGCUCCCCUUCUAAGCCUCUGUUUUCCUAUCCAUAAAAUGAGGAGGCUGGACUUGGUAUUCUCUAAAACCCCUUUCAGAGUUGACAUUCUAGAAGUCUAUGAAGUUGGUAAAUCUGUGGGGCAAUGUGGAAGUGGGUUGAGCACUGACAGAGCAAUUAUUUUCUCAUUUGAAAAAGAGCCUGGAUACUGAAAACAGUGUUGGGCUUAAAGUCAGAAAACCUGUACUAUAUCCCUAGAUCUGCUUCAUACAAGCUGCAUCUCGGGUGAGUCACCUCACCCUGCUGAUCCUUAGUUUUCUCGUUUGUAAAUGAGGCUACAGUGCCACCUUGCAAGGCUUGCAUGGUUCGUAAAUAAGUUAAUGAACAUAAAGCACCUGGUGGGCACAUGGCACCCAAUGAGUCAAAGCCAGCUACACCUGUGCCUUUCCUGUUGGCUCAGUUCCCCUAAAUACUCCUCAGAUUACAUCUCAGCCAUUUUUCUUUUGAGCUAAAGGAAGUGAACUUGAUGUGGCACCACUGAAAUUAGAAUGAAAAGGAAGCCAGCUGACAUGGGUCACCUAUGUUUAAGUAUUAUCUCAAACACGGAAAUGCCACAGCCACCACAUGGGAUAGCAUCUCCAGUUUAGAGGUCUGACUGUUUACUAUGUGCUUCCCACAACUUUUGCUGCCUUGGACCCAGUUCUGACUUGGCUGUUUGAGGGGAAGCAGUUGGUGAGUCAAGCAGACACUGUCAGCUGACUUAAUUGGCACCAGAGCUUCACCAACGUGAAGACGGACUCCUUGUGGAGGCACCAGCUGCCCUGCAGAGGUGGAGGAACUGAUGCUGUUGCCUUGUAAUGCUUGUUCUGAUGCCUGCUGCCACAUGUUCAAUCCCUAUCAUCACCUUCAGUGCCUGUGUCAAACAUGACCUCCUCCAGGUAGCCUCUCAGACUCUUGGGUUAGAAGUCUUUCCCCUCUGAACUCCCAUGGCAUUUUAUCUGUUCUUCUUCUACAAAACUUACUGCUGGCUACUUUCCGUUAGAGGUCUCUGUGCUCACAUCUUAUUCCUUUAUUAGACUGUAAGCUCCCUGUGGGCAGAAACUAGGUCUUAAUCAUACUGUGUCCUUAGAUCCUGGCAUAAUGUCAGUAGGUAAAUAUGUGUGGACCUGAAUUGAAUCAGCUGGUCAUCUGAUUUUAUAAACAAGAGGGGAAAUCUGGAUCGUAUAUGUAUGAUCUAUUUGAAACCACAGGUUCAUGGAAAUCUAACAGGUCUUUGGAAAUUAUCUAGAGGCCUCCUCAUUUUAUCGUUGUGAAACUGAAGCAUAGACUUCAAUGCCUUCUCAUGGUCACGUGUCUGGAGAAUCAUAUCUUGCACUUGGACUCAGGUUCCUGGACCUCCAUCCCAGGUGUCCUGCCCUGACAAAUGAGUGAGCGAGUGAGUGAGCAGACACGCCUUGGAAAGGGCCAGUAGGUCAUUCCCAGAACCACAGCUGGCUUUGGGAGUCAGCUUGCCCCU